rnacentral:rRNA from 1 species
CGAUGAUCAGGAGCUUGCUCCUGUGAUUAGUGGCGAACGGGUGAGUAACACGUGAGUAACCUGCCCCUGACUCUGGGAUAAGCGUUGGAAACGACGUCUAAUACUGGAUAUGAUCACUGGCCGCAUGGUCUGGUGGUGGAAAGAUUUUUUGGUUGGGGAUGGACUCGCGGCCUAUCAGCUUGUUGGUGAGGUAAUGGCUCACCAAGGCGACGACGGGUAGCCGGCCUGAGAGGGUGACCGGCCACACUGGGACUGAGACACGGCCCAGACUCCUACGGGAGGCAGCAGUGGGGAAUAUUGCACAAUGGGCGAAAGCCUGAUGCAGCAACGCCGCGUGAGGGAUGACGGCCUUCGGGUUGUAAACCUCUUUUAGUAGGGAAGAAGCGAAAGUGACGGUACCUGCAGAAAAAGCACCGGCUAACUACGUGCCAGCAGCCGCGGUAAUACGUAGGGUGCAAGCGUUGUCCGGAAUUAUUGGGCGUAAAGAGCUCGUAGGCGGUUUGUCGCGUCUGCUGUGAAAUCCCGAGGCUCAACCUCGGGCUUGCAGUGGGUACGGGCAGACUAGAGUGCGGUAGGGGAGAUUGGAAUUCCUGGUGUAGCGGUGGAAUGCGCAGAUAUCAGGAGGAACACCGAUGGCGAAGGCAGAUCUCUGGGCCGUAACUGACGCUGAGGAGCGAAAGCGUGGGGAGCGAACAGGAUUAGAUACCCUGGUAGUCCACGCCGUAAACGUUGGGCGCUAGAUGUAGGGACCUUUCCACGGUUUCUGUGUCGUAGCUAACGCAUUAAGCGCCCCGCCUGGGGAGUACGGCCGCAAGGCUAAAACUCAAAGGAAUUGACGGGGGCCCGCACAAGCGGCGGAGCAUGCGGAUUAAUUCGAUGCAACGCGAAGAACCUUACCAAGGCUUGACAUACACCGGAAACGGCCAGAGAUGGUCGCCCCCUUGUGGUCGGUGUACAGGUGGUGCAUGGUUGUCGUCAGCUCGUGUCGUGAGAUGUUGGGUUAAGUCCCGCAACGAGCGCAACCCUCGUUCUAUGUUGCCAGCGCGUUAUGGCGGGGACUCAUAGGAGACUGCCGGGGUCAACUCGGAGGAAGGUGGGGAUGACGUCAAUUCAUCAUGCCCCUUAUGUCUUGGGCUUCACGCAUGCUACAAUGGCCGGUACAAAGGGCUGCGAUACCGUAAGGUGGAGCGAAUCCCAAAAAGCCGGUCUCAGUUCGGA